rnacentral:rRNA from 1 species
AAAUGCGUAGAGAUCUGGAGGAAUACCGGUGGCGAAGGCGGCCCCCUGGACAAAGACUGACGCUCAGGUGCGAAAGCGUGGGGAGCAAACAGGAUUAGAUACCCUGGUAGUCCACGCUGUAAACGAUGUCGACUUGGAGGUUGUUCCCUUGAGGAGUGGCUUCCGGAGCUAACGCGUUAAGUCGACCGCCUGGGGAGUACGGCCGCAAGGUUAAAACUCAAAUGAAUUGACGGGGGCCCGCACAAGCGGUGGAGCAUGUGGUUUAAUUCGAUGCAACGCGAAGAACCUUACCUACUCUUGACAUCCAGAGAACUUAGCAGAGAUGCUUUGGUGCCUUCGGGAACUCUGAGACAGGUGCUGCAUGGCUGUCGUCAGCUCGUGUUGUGAAAUGUUGGGUUAAGUCCCGCAACGAGCGCAAC